CAGCACCUCAAGUGGUCAGGAUGAUUAUUUGGCCUAAAGCAUCCGUAGCCGGCGCUGUAAGUUUUCGGUUAAAUCUGUACGCUCAACGUACAGGCUGCCGGGAAUACUGCAGCGCUAGGGAGUGGGAGAGGUAGACGGUACUCGGUAGGAAGGGGUAAAAUCCUUUGAUCUAUUGAUGACCACCUGUGGCGAAGGCGGUCUACCAGAACACGUCCGACGGUGAGGGAUGAAAGCUGGGGGAGCAAACCGGAUUAGAGACCCGAGUAGUCC
rnacentral:rRNA from 1 species